GGAUCAUGGCUCAGGAUGAACGCUAGCUACAGGCUUAACAUAUGCAAGUCGAGGGGCAGCAUGAACUUAGCUUGCUAAGUUUGACGGCGACCGGCGCACGGGUGAGUAACACGUAUCCAACCUUCCGUUUACUCAGGGAUAGCCUUUCGAAAGAAAGAUUAAUACCUGAUAGUAUGGUGAGAUUGCAUGAUAACACCAUUAAAGAUUUAUUGGUAAACGAUGGGGAUGCGUUCCAUUAGGUAG
rnacentral:rRNA from 1 species